rnacentral:rRNA from 1 species
CCUACGGGCGGCAGCAGUGGGGGAUAUUGGACAAUGGGGGGAACCCUGAUCCAGCGACGCCGCGUGAGUGAAGAAGUAUUUCGGUAUGUAAAGCUCUGUCAGCAGGGAAGAAAGCAAUGACGGUACCUGACCAAGAAGCCCCGGCUAACUACGUGCCAGCAGCCGCGGUAAUACGUAGGGGGCAAGCGUUAUCCGGAAUUACUGGGUGUAAAGGGGGCGUAGACGGCUGUGCAAGUCUGGAGUGAAAGGCGGGGGCCCAACCCCCGGACUGCUCUGGAGACUGUAUGGCUGGAGUGCAGGAGAGGUAAGCGGAAUUCCUAGUGUAGCGGUGAAAUGCGUAGAUAUUAGGAGGAACACCAGUGGCGAAGGCGGCUUACUGGACUGUAACUGACGUUGAGGCUCGAAAGCGUGGGGAGCAAACAGGAUUAGAUACCCUUGUAGUC